rnacentral:rRNA from 1 species
AUUGAACGCUGGCGGCGUGCCUAAUACAUGAAAGUAGAACGCAGUUGCGAACGGGUGAGUAACGCGUAGGUAACUGCCUGGUAGCGGGGGAUAACUAUUGGAAACGCUAGCUAAUACAGCAUACUACCAGCUGGACCUGCGUUGUAUUAGCUAGUUGGUGGGGUAACGGCUCACCAAGGCAACGAUACAUAGCCGACCUGAGGGGGGUAUCGGGCACUCUGGGACGGAGACACGACCCAGACACCGACGUGAGGCAGUAGUAUGGAGUCUUCGGCCAUGGACAGAAGUCGGACCGAGUAACGCCGCUUGAUUGAAGAAGUGUUUCGUAUCGUAAAGCUCUGUUGUAAGAGAAGCGGUAUCUUACCAGAAUGGGACGUCUAACUACGUGCCAGCAGCCGCGGUAAUAC